rnacentral:rRNA from 1 species
AUACGGAGGAUCCGAGCGUUAUCCGGAUUUAUUGGGUUUAAAGGGUGCGCAGGCGGCCAUUUAAGUCAGCGGUUAAAUCGUGGGGCUCAACCCCAUUCUGCCGUUGAUACUGGGUGGCUUGAUUGCGGUCGAGGUUGGCGGAAUUCGUUGUGUAGCGGUGAAAUGCAUAGAUAUGACGAAGAACACCGAUUGCGUAGGCAGCUGACCAGACCGCAAAUGACGCUCAUGCACGAAAGUGCGGGGAUCGAACAGGAUUAGGUACCCUGGUAGUCCGCACAGUAAACGAUGAAUACUUGUUUUCGGCGAUAUAAUGUCGGAGGCAAAGCGAAAGCGAUAAGUAUUCCACCUGGGGAGUACGCCGGCAACGGUGAAACUCAAAGGAAUUGGCGGGG